rnacentral:rRNA from 1 species
UACGUAGGGUGCAAGCGUUGUCCGGAAUUAUUGGGCGUAAAGAGCGUGUAGGCGGCCGAGUAAGUCCGGUGUGAAAACUCGAGGCUUAACCUCGAGAUGUCAUCGGAAACUAUUCGGCUAGAGUCCGGAAGAGGAGAGUGGAAUUCCUGGUGUAGCGGUGAAAUGCGCAGAUAUCAGGAAGAACACCUAUGGCGAAAGCAGCUCUCUGGGACGGUACUGACGCUGAGACGCGAAAGCGUGGGGAGCGAACAGG